rnacentral:rRNA from 1 species
CUUUUUGAAAAUAAUUUAAGGUCUAACCUGCCCAAUGAGGAUUUAAAUGGCCGCGGUAUUUUGACCGUGCAAAGGUAGCAUAAUCAAUAGUUUUUUAAUUGAAAGCUGGAAUGAAAGGUUGAAUGAAAAAAUGACUGUCUCUGUUUAAUUUUUAUAGAAUUUUAUUUUUAAGUAAAAAAGCUUAAAUAAUAUUAGAAGACGAGAAGACCCUAUAGAGUUUUAUUAGUUUUUAAAAUAAUUUUUUUAGAAUUAAUAUUUUUUUUUUAAAAAUUAAUUUAAUUGGGGUGAUUAAAAAAUUAAUUAAACUUUUUUUUUGUCUAUACAUAAAUAUAUGGGUAAAUGAUCCUUAAUUAGAGAUUAAAAGAUGAAAUUACCUUAGGGAUAACAGCGUAAUUUUUUUAGAGAGUUCAAAUCGAAAAAAAAGAUUGCGACCUCGAUGUUGGAUUAAAAUAAAAUUUUGGUGUAGAAGCUAGA